UACGUAGGGUGCGAGCGUUGUCCGGAAUUAUUGGGCGUAAAGAGCUCGUAGGCGGUGUGUCACGUCGGCCGUGAAAACCUGGGGCUUAACUCUGGGCGUGCGGUCGAUACGGGCAUCACUAGAGUCGGCAGGGGAGACUGGAAUUCCUGGUGAUGAGCGGUGAAAUGCGCAGAUAUCAGGAGGAACACCGGUGGCGAAGGCGGGUCUCUGGGCCGAUACUGA
rnacentral:rRNA from 1 species